rnacentral:lncRNA from 1 species
AUCACUGAAAUGUUGAUGUCAUGCCUGGCUUGGAAGUGGUUUCUGCGUUGGUGCUGGGACAGCUUCGCUUUAAUUGGGGGAGGGGGAGGGGUGGAGGAGCCCCUUUAUCAGAAUUCUCACGAGAAUUCACCCCUUUUCUCCUUCCAGCAGGGCCACCUAGGGCGCCAUGGGGGGGGGCGGUCCCCAGUCACAACUCCUGGUCUUUCUCUCUGGCCCUGGGCCUCCACCCAGCUGGCAUCCUUCAAAACUGAGAUAGUAAGGAGUGGGGUGAGAGUUCAGUGGCACUUUUGUCCCCGUGUGCUUGGGACUGGGGGAUCUUGAGACCUGACAGGACCCUGUGUAGAUGGUGAGCUCUGGGCUGCCCUAGGGGCUUUUCCUGCAGCCUCUGGAGAACUCUCCUGAGUAGCUUGGAGUAGUAGGAGGGCAGCCAGCUGCAAAGGUCCACCUGAGCGCAAGUUGGAAAACUCACCUCCACCCCAGCACCGCUGCCCACAGGGCCAGUCCUAAGGAAAGCCUUGGAAAUAAAUACCAUAUGCUGUCUCCAGGGACCAGCCCUUCUUGGCUUCUGUUUGUACAUAGUGGAGGCCUGAGAACAGGAAGAUAGUUCUGUAUGUGUGCAUAUGUGUGCAUGUGUGUGCACCUGAGUGUGUGUGUGUGUGUCAGGGGUGUGUGUGUGGAUGUAAGGGGUGUGGUGUUGUAAGCUACCCCGGGAAUCUGGCUAACAGAAGACAGGGUGCACUCAGCUGGGGUAGGCUCUGCUGCAGUCUUCCCAGACUCAUCUGUUAGGAGGCACAGUGGGGUAGCCUCUCAGGGGCUGAGGGGUUGUGGAGAGGGCAGAAGUGAGAUAAUCAAGCGCUUAGCCUGGCAUGUAGUAUACACUCAGUAAAUGGAGACUAUUUAUAGUUUAACUCUAUGAGGGCUUUAGUCCCAAAGCCUGUUGUAUGCAACUGGUAGCAAAACAGAAUAGAAAUGGGGGUUGAGGCCCUUAUCCUCACACCCCUCCUUGGAGAGCCUGGGCAGAGAGAAGGAGGCUGGGCCAGGAUGCAUUGGGCAAGUUGAGUCUUCUGGGCCUCAGUUUCCUGCCUGACGUUUAAGAAGAAAUAGGGCUGGGGAUGCCUGUAGAGUCAAAAUUUAUAUUAAACAACUCUGUUCACAUGCUCCUGAAACCCAGUUGGCAAGCUCUGUUUUAAGGUGAGUGGGUCCUGCUGCCCCCAGGAGCAUGAGAAG